CUUAAAAUAUGAAGACUAAGUCAUCUUUUUUCUCAUUCAACACUUAGCAAAUAAAACAAGAACUUGGAGAGCUCCACUCCCUCUAGCUCACGGCUAAGACCAAGGAAAACCAAAUCCCUUUCAAGCCUCUCCAAAAUUAUUUCUUUGGUUCAAACCCACUAAUUAGAGGUCCCUAAGUAGCGUGGAGGCAUUGUUGGAGCGAUCAAGUGAUUUAUUUGAGAGAUUGCAAACCCUAACCCAUUUUGGAGUUGAAGAGGAAAGACCUUGGAGAGCCCGAGGCGUAGAUUGGGAUUAACGUUAGGUUGGCUAUCUUGGAGUGCGUACGAGGUAUGUAAAGUCCAACCUUCUUUCUUUUGGCAUGCCUUAGUUUUGGAUAGGCUAGAUUACGAGCCUUUAGGAAAAUCCUAUGAUUCGAAAUCCGAGCAUGAUAUGAUCUAUAUAUAUUCCUUGACACUCUUAUGUAUGAUUUGAUAAAAGUAUGAACCAUUAUGACUUUGAAAUAUUCGCUUUCCGAACUUUGCAUAAAAAGGUUUCGCUUUAAAGAAUUUCGUAAAUUUUGAAUUUCAUAUCUUUCACAUAAAGGCUCGGAUUGCUCCACUAUUUUUUUUAUAGGAGUUUGCAUGAUGUAUAAUGAGUAUAUUUUGCAUAGGCGGGCCCGACUCGGGUCAAUACCCGUCCGUGGGUCCCGCGACUUUCCUUUAUGUAAUUCGGAGAACUUUUGAAUGAAUUUGAUAUGACUAUUAUUUCGAUUUACAAGUAUGAUCAUUCUACUUAUGUAUGAAUUUAUGAUAAUGAUUUUAUGCAUAUGACUACUCACGACUCUAUUCGUGCAUUCUGUUAUCCCUUUCGCCGAGUCCCGGGCCGGUUCUGUUAUCGUGCGCAUUUUGAUAUACUCCGGAGUUAUGCUGUGUUUAUGGUUCACCGAGCUACUCGCAAAAGAGGGUCGGGUUCCACUUAUAUUUGGUGUUAUGCUGUAUGACGUUAUGCUGUGAUGUGAUAUUUGACGGGGAUACGGAGAUUUGAGACUUUCUGGUGUUAUGCUGUGUUAUGGCGCCAUCGACGGGCGGGCGACCAUAUUCCUCUGUACCCUAUGCAUGACUUACAUAUUUUUUUGAAAGUAAACAAAUUUUGAUAUGAUUGGAUUUGUACUUAUGUUCGGCACUUCCGCUUCGUUUAUGUCUCAGGUACAGACGCACAGUUUAGUGAUCUACCCAUUUAGGACACCCACUUCUGCUGUUUGGAGUGCUCUUCUCAUUUCAGAGCACACAUUUUGGUAUAUGUUUGUUCGCUAUGUAUAUAUGUAUUUGUUCAGGGUACGGCGGGGCCCUGUCCUGCCAUAUGAUUCGGUUUGUCUGUUUAGAGGUCUGUAGACGUAUUUGUGGGUGUGUGUGCCUACCUCUGUACAGUUGUGUUUAUAUGAUUCUACUCGUUAUGGCAGCCUUGUCGGCGUGCAUUUGUAUAGGUGUUUUGGGCCGUUGUGCCAUUUGAUAGCCUUGUCGGCUUUUGGUACAUGUGAUAGCCUUAUCGGCUUUUGAUACA